ACCCAACAACAGAAGGUGUGGGCUUACCCCAACAACAGAAUGGUGUGGGCGUACCACCUCACAACAAGAGGUGUGGGCUUACCCCAACAACAGAAUGGUGUGGGUACCCCACAAAAGAAUGGUGUAGGCUUACCCCAACAACAGAAUGGUGUGGGCUUACCCCAACAACAGAAUGGUGUGGGCUUACCCCAACAACAGAAUGAGGUGGAGGCCAGCCAGCCAGUGAGCAUUUCAGACAGCCAAACGAACGACGAACAGGAGGACAAGAGCAACAGACAGUUUUACAGGAAACUUCGACAGUGAUAAGGAUUAAUCAGACGGCUGUGUCAAAUAUCUGUUUCCUGAGCCUGAUCUGCGGGAGAAAAAAAUAUUUUCUUCCCAAAGUUGUCUAUCUGACCGCCCACAGCAUGAAAAAUGCCAACCGCGCCACAAUGAUCUCUGUUGGGGCCCACAGGUCUGCGGGAAUGCAAAUGUUUCACUUUUACUGUAAAGAGUGUUGUGAUUUUAAAUGCACUUGAAAUCAAAUUUGAUUUGACUCAUGCCCUAACAGUGUGUGGAAUAUGUGUUCUCCACGUCAGUGUGGCUCAGCAGAGUACACGGCCCCAGAGGUGGUGGAGGUCUUCACAGAAGAGGCUUCGUUCCACGUCAAGCCCUGUGACCUCUGGGUCAUACUUUAUAUUCUGUUGAGCGGCAGCCCCACCUUCACCAACCACUGGGGGACUGACUGUGGCUGGGACCGAGGAGAGACCUGACACAUCUGCCAGGUACACAAACAUAGUGUACAUACCCCCACACACAACAUCCCCAGUUCACCUUACACAGUACUACUACAGCGCUAUUUGUAUUAAGCAUUUUUUUUUGCAUUUAUAAUGAAUGAGUCAUGUUAUUAUGGUGAAGUGUAUGUCUAUGUUGUCGAUGUUGUGUCCGACCCCUGCAGAAUGACCUGUUUGAGAACAUCCAGGAGGGGCAGUAUGAGUUCUCAGAGAGGGACUGGGCCCAUAUCUCUGCCAAGGACCUAAUCUCCAGGCUACUGGUACGGGACGCCACACGCCUCAGUGCUGCCCAGGUCCUGCAGCACCCCUGAGCUCAGGGGGUGAGUGCCAAGGCCAAAACUUAACUGGUCCUCUGAGUACUGUAUGGGUAUGGCCAUAACAUUGUCACGAAUCCCGUUUCCUGAGUCUGUUUUUUGCCUGUGUUCUGUCCUGGAGUGUUUUUUCCGGCGUCCUGGAACGCACCCUGUCUGGUUGCCGGGCAAUGUAGCCAGUUGGGAGUUCUGAUUACCCGCACCUGUAUCCCAUCAGCUAUCUGCACACCUGGUCCUGAUCAUCUCUCCUCUUCAUAAGCCCGGACCUGACAUCCAUUCCCUGCCGGAUCGUUAGCCAUGAACAGUAUGGUUGUGCCAUAGUAUCAGCCUCAAGUUGGAUAGAAUUUGUUUUGUUGUGUUUUUUACGUAUUGCUUGCCUUAAACUUACCUCCGUUUGUUCUGUCUUCAGUUACUCACCCGGAUCAUUUACCCCAUUCCCGCCUGGUCGUCGGAGGAUUCCGCUUCCCCAUUGGUCCACCUAUUACUCCCAUCAACUCACCACCGCUGCCCGCUACGCCACCUGGAUAUAUCUACCCAUUCACAUUCACUUGUAAAUAAAUACUCACCUUCUUCCUACUCUCCUUGUCCUGGUCUGCUUCUGGGUUCGAUUUUGAGAAACGUGACAGAACGAUCCGGCCAAGGAUGAACCCAGCGGACCUGGAUUCCGUUUGCCAUGCCAUUACCC
rnacentral:lncRNA from 1 species